GGGCCCGUAGCUCAGCAUGGAUAGAGCGGCGGCCUCCUAAGCCGUAGGUCGUGGGUUCGAAUCCCACCGGGCCCG
rnacentral:tRNA from 2 species